rnacentral:rRNA from 1 species
GUGGGGAAUAUUGGACAAUGGGCGAAAGCCUGAUCCAGCCAUGCCGCGUGUGUGAAGAAGGUCUUCGGAUUGUAAAGCACUUUAAGUUGGGAGGAAGGGCAGUAAGUUAAUACCUUGCUGUUUUGACGUUACCGACAGAAUAAGCACCGGCUAACUCUGUGCCAGCAGCCGCGGUAAUACAGAGGGUGCAAGCGUUAAUCGGAUUUACUGGGCGUAAAGCGCGCGUAGGUGGCCAAUUAAGUCAAAUGUGAAAUCCCCGAGCUUAACUUGGGAACUGCCUUCAAAACUGCAUGACUAGAGUACGGUAGAGGGUAGUGGAAUUUCCUGUGUAGCGGUGAAAUGCGUAGAUAUAGGAAGGAACACCAGUGGCGAAGGCGACUACCUGGACUGAUACUGACACUGAGGUGCGAAAGCGUGGGGAGCAAACAGGAUUAGAAACCCUGGUAGUCC